GAUGAACGCUGGCUGCGUGCCCAAUACAUGCAAGUCGAGCGAAGCGGGGACGGGUGAGUAACACGUCGAUAACCUCCUAUAUGUCUGGGGUAACUUCGUGAAACCGUAGCUAAAACGGAUACCUAGAGAUGGAUCCUCUCUGCAUUAGCUAGUUGGUAAGGUAACGGCUUACCAAGGCAACGAUGCAUAGCCGACCUGACAGGGUGAUCGGCCACAAUGGAACUGAGACACGGUCGAGAGUCCUAGGGGAGGAAGCAGUAGGGAAUGUUCAGCAAUAGGAGCAGGCCUGAAAGAGCGACGCCGCGUGAGUGAUGAAGGACUUCGGAUCGUAAAAAUCGGUUAUUAGGGAAGCGGUACCUAAUAAGAAAGCCACGGCUAACUACGUGCCAGCAGCCGCGGUAAUAC
rnacentral:rRNA from 1 species